AGUAGUUUGACUCGUGGCUCAGACACGCUGGCGGCGUGCCUAAUACAUGCAAGUCGAACGGAGAUAUUCGCUGAUGAAGUACUUCGGUAAUGAAUCUUGGAUAUCUUAGUGGCGGACGGGUGAGUAACGCGUGAGCAACCUGCCUUUCAGAGGGGGAUAACGUUUGGAAACGAACGCUAAUACCGCAUGACAUUAUCUUAUCGCAUGGUAGGAUAAUCAAAGGAGCAAUCCGCUGAAAGAUGGGCUCGCGUCCGAUUAGGUAGUUGGUGGGGUAACGGCCCACCAAGCCGACGAUCGGUAGCCGGACUGAGAGGUUGGACGGCCACAUUGGGACUGAGACACGGCCCAGACUCCUACGGGAGGCAGCAGUAAGGGAUAUUGGUCAAUGGGGGAAACCCUGAACCAGCAACGCCGCGUGAGGGAAGACCGGUUUUCGGAUUGUAAACCUCUGUCCUCUGUGAAGAUGAUGACGGUAGCAGAGGAGGAAGCUCCGGCUAACUACGUG
rnacentral:rRNA from 1 species